rnacentral:rRNA from 1 species
AGAGUUUGAUCAUGGCUCAGAUUGAACGCUGGCGGCAGGCCUAACACAUGCAAGUCGAACGGUAACAGGAAGCAGCUUGCUGCUUCGCUGACGAGUGGCGGACGGGUGAGUAAUGUCUGGGAAGCUGCCUGAUGGAGGGGGAUAACUACUGGAAACGGUAGCUAAUACCGCAUAAUGUCGCAAGACCAAAGAGGGGGACCUUCGGGCCUCUUGCCAUCGGAUGUGCCCAGAUGGGAUUAGCUUGUUGGUGGGGUAACGGCUCACCAAGGCGACGAUCCCUAGCUGGUCUGAGAGGAUGACCAGCCACACUGGAACUGAGACACGGUCCAGGCUCCUACGGGAGGCAGCAGUGGGGAAUAUUGCACAAUGGGCGCAAGCCUGAUGCAGCCAUGCCGCGUGUAUGAAGAAGGCCUUCGGGUUGUAAAGUACUUUCAGCGGGGAGGAAGGGAGUAAAGUUAAUACCUUUGCUCAUUGACGUUACCCGCAGAAGAAGCACCGGCUAACUCCGUGCCAGCAGCCGCGGUAAUACGGAGGGUGCAAGCGUUAAUCGGAAUUACUGGGCGUAAAGCGCACGCAGGCGGUUUGUUAAGUCAGAUGUGAAAUCCCCGGGCUCAACCUGGGAACUGCAUCUGAUACUGGCAAGCUUGAGUCUCGUAGAGGGGGGUAGAAUUCCAGGUGUAGCGGUGAAAUGCGUAGAGAUCUGGAGGAAUACCGGUGGCGAAGGCGGCCCCCUGGACGAAGACUGUCGCUCAGGUGCGAAAGCGUGGGGAGCAAACAGGAUUAGAUACCCUGGUAGUCCACGCCGUAAACGAUGUCGACUUGGAGGUUGUGCCCUUGAGGCGUGGCUUCCGGAGCUAACGCGUUAAGUCGACCGCCUGGGGAGUACGGCCGCAAGGUUAAAACUCAAAUGAAUUGACGGGGGCCCGCACAAGCGGUGGAGCAUGUGGUUUAAUUCGAUGCAACGCGAAGAACCUUACCUGGUCUUGACAUCCACGGAAGUUUUCAGAGAUGAGAAUGUGCCUUCGGGAACCGUGAGACAGGUGCUGCAUGGCUGUCGUCAGCUCGUGUUGUGAAAUGUUGGGUUAAGUCCCGCAACGAGCGCAACCCUUAUCCUUUGUUGCCAGCGGUCCGGCCGGGAACUCAAAGGAGACUGCCAGUGAUAAACUGGAGGAAGGUGGGGAUGACGUCAAGUCAUCAUGGCCCUUACGACCAGGGCUACACACGUGCUACAAUGGCGCAUACAAAGAGAAGCGACCUCGCGAGAGCAAGCGGACCUCAUAAAGUGCGUCGUAGUCCGGAUUGGAGUCUGCAACUCGACUCCAUGAAGUCGGAAUCGCUAGUAAUCGUGGAUCAGAAUGCCACGGUGAAUACGUUCCCGGGCCUUGUACACACCGCCCGUCACACCAUGGGAGUGGGUUGCAAAAGAAGUAGGUAGCUUAACCUUCGGGAGGGCGCUUACCACUUUGUGAUUCAUGACUGGGGUGAAGUCGUAACAAGGUAACCGUAGGGGAACCUGCGGUUG